UACUCCAGAGUACCACGAGACACGUGAAACCUUGUGGGAAGCUGGGAGGACCAUCUCCCAAGGCUAAAUACUACCUAGUGACCGAUAGUGAAGCAGUACCGUGAGGGAAAGGUGAAAAGAACCCCGGAAGGGGAGUGAAAUAGAAUCUGAAACCGUGUGCCUACAAUCGGUCGGAGCACAUUAAAGUGUGACGGCGUACUUUUUGUAGAACGGGCCAGCGAGUUACGAUAUAUAGCAAGGUUAAGCACUUAUGGUGUGGAGCCGAAGGGAAACCGAGUCUGAAUAGGGCAACUAGUUGUAUAUUGUAGACCCGAAACCGGGUGACCUAUCCAUGGCCAGGAUGAAGCGGAAGUAAAAUUCCGUGGAGGUCCGAACCACGUUGGUGUUGAAAAACCAUGGGAUGAGCUGUGGAUAGCGGAGAAAUUCCAAUCGAACUCGGAGAUAGCUGGUUCUCCUCGAAAUAGCUUUAGGGCUAGCGUCGGGUAAUUGAGUAGUGGAGGUAGAGCACUGAAUGGGCUAGGGGCUGACAACAGUUACUGAACCCUAUCAAACUCCGAAUGCCAUAUACUUGUACCCCGGCAGUCAGACUACGAAUGAUAAGAUCCGUGGUCAAAAGGGAAACAGCCCAGACCAUCAGCUAAGGUCCCAAAGUGUAAGUUAAGUGGGAAAGGAUGUGGGAUUUCUAAGACAACUAGGAUGUUGGCUUAGAAGCAGCCACUCAUUUAAAGAGUGCGUAAUAGCUCACUAGUCGAGAGAUCCUGCGCCGAAGAUGUAACGGGGCUCAAACUUACCACCGAAGCUAUGGAUGUGUACUUUGUACACGUGGUAGAGGAGCUUUCUGUACAGGUUGAAGUCAUACCGUAAGGAGUGGUGGACAGUACAGAAGUGAGAAUGCUGGCAUAAGUAGCGAAAAACAAGUGAGAAUCUUGUUGACCGAAUAUCUAAGGUUUCCUGGGGAAGGCUCGUCCUCCCAGGGUUAGUCGGGACCUAAGCCGAGGCCGAAAGGCGUAGGUGAUGGACAACUGGUUGAUAUUCCAGUACCACCAUAAUGCGUUUGACAAAUGGGAUGACGCAGGAGGAUAGGAUGUGCGCACUAUUGGAUGUGCGUCUAAGCACUUAGGGUGUUAAGUAGGCAAAUCCGCUUAACAUUAAGCCUGAGGUGUGAUGGGGAGCCUAUUUUGGCGAAGUAUCUGAUUCCACGCUGCCAAGAAAAGUCUCUAUGGAGCAAA
rnacentral:rRNA from 1 species